GAUGAACGCUGGCGGCGUGCCUAAUACAUGCAAGUCGAGCGAACGGACGAGAAGCUUGCUUUUCUGAUGUUAGCGGCGGACGUGUGAGUAACACGUGGAUAACCUACCUAUAAGACUGGGAUAACUUCGGGAAACCGGAGCUAAUACCGGAUAAUAUUUUGAACCGCAUGGUUCAAAAGUGAAAGACGGUCUUGCUGUCACUUAUAGAUGGAUCCGCGCUGCAUUAGCUAGUUGGUAAGGUAACGGCUUACCAAGGCAACGAUGCAUAGCCGACCUGAGAGGGUGAUCGGCCACACUGGAACUGAGACACGGUCCAGACUCCUACGGGAGGCAGCAGUAGGGAAUCUUCCGCAAAGGGCGAAAGCCUGACGGAGCAACGCCGCGUGAGUGAUGAAGGUCUUCGGAUCGUAAAACUCUGUUAUUAGGGAAGAACAUAUGUGUAAGUAACUGUGCACAUCUUGACGGUACCUAAUCAGAAAGCCACGGCUAACUACGUG
rnacentral:rRNA from 1 species